rnacentral:rRNA from 1 species
GAUGAACGCUGGCGGCGUACCUAAUACAUGCAAGUCGAGCGAACGGACGAGAAGCUUGCUUCUCUGAUGUUAGCGGCGGACGGGUGAGCAACACGUGGAUAACCUACCUAUAAGACUGGGAUAACUUCGGGAAACCGGAGCUAAUACCGGAUAAUAUUUUGAACCGCAUGGUUCAAAAGUGAAAGACGGUCUUGCUGUCACUUAUAGAUGGAUCCGCGCUGCAUUAGCUAGUUGGUAAGGUAACGGCUUACCAAGGCAACGAUGCAUAGCCGACCUGAGAGGGUGAUCGGCCACACUGGAACUGAGACACGGUCCAGACUCCUACGGGAGGCAGCAGUAGGGAAUCUUCCGCAAAGGGCGAAAGCCUGACGGAGCAACGCCGCGUGAGUGAUGAAGGUCUUCGGAUCGUAAAACUCUGUUAUUAGGGAAGAACAUAUGUGUAAGUAACUGUGCACAUCUUGACGGUACCUAAUCAGAAAGCCACGGCUAACUACGUG